rnacentral:lncRNA from 1 species
UCACAUUUAAUUAGACUUGAGAGUUUAUGGCCCUGUUUCCUCUCCUUGAUCCUUUUCCCAUGAUUCCUGCAGAUGGAAUGAAGCACCACCUCAUGAAGAGCAGCAACCUGGGCAAACCAGACCUGAUUUAACUGCACUUUCUCACUCUUGAUCAUUUUCUCAAGAGAUACGCGUGUGGUCCCCUGCAAUUCACAAUGAAAUUUGAACUUCUGGAAAAACUCUCCUAGAGGGGGUUUGAUGACAAGAGGUAAGGCCCAGGGGCUGAAGGCUGUUUUACGUGAUUUAUGGAAUCACUGAAGGAUUUAUUUCUCCUCUCCAGUUGUUUUUCUACUAUCUUCUUGAGAUUUAUAUUACCCAAUCAGGUUCCAGUCAGUUCAGGAAACUCCAUUUCACAGUGGGAAGACUAG